rnacentral:rRNA from 1 species
ACAAGGGGAGGGGAGGAGGCCACACCAGACCAGAGAAGCAGCAGCCAUUUCCUUCCAGCCGAGGGAGACGAGACGAGAGGAGAGCACUCUUCCCUCUAGGAGAGGAGUAGCAUCGUGAGAGAGAGGGAGAGGGAGGAGAUACUCGUGAGCGCGAGGGGAAGGAGAAGGACAAGGAGGGCGGGCUCUCUCGCUCUCUCCCGCUGCCUUGUCGAGGCGGUUGGUGCGUGGAUCUGCGCGGCGGCGGCGGUGCCUGCCGGACGCCGGCGACUAGGCGGGGAGAUCGGAGGCGCAUGCCUCAGAUCUGACAUGGAGCGGAUCCGGGAAGGAAGGAGGGCCGCACUGGCCAUGUCCGGCGGGGCGCCUCCGCCGCGGCGCCGGCUCAGGAGCAACGGCGGCGGCGUCUCCGGCGGCGCGGGGCCGAGGGACUCGCCUCGGUCCGAGAGGAGGCGGGGGGACCGCCUCAUGCUCAACGGCAACGGCCGCGACGACGGCGACGACACCUCCGACGACAGCCUCGGCGACGACGACGACGACCCCGACGAGGAGCUCGCCGCCUCCGCGCCCAGGUUCCCGUCGGUGCAGCGCCGGUCACCCAGCACGGCGCCUCCGCCGUCCCCGCCACAGCCUGGCGCCGCGCACCAUCACAGCAGCAGCAGCAGCGGCGGCGGCGGCGGCGGUUACAACAACCACCACCACCACGGCCCGCAGUCGAUGCACCGGAAGGGGGGCUCCAAUCCCAAGGGCCCCAUAGUGUGGAAGGCCGCCGACGAAAUGAUCGGCGUUCCAGUCCCGAGGAAGGCGCGCUCAGCUUCUACCAAGAGGUCUUCGCACGAGUGGACAGGCCCCGGCGGUGGGAGCGGCGGCGGCGCCGCUGUAGACGGCUCGCAGAUCCAGCGGCCUUCUUCACGGCCGAUCUCGCCGGCUUCCACAUCGGCCACCGCCCCUGCUCGGAAAAAGCUGAAAACACUUGGCGGCGGUGGGAGCAGCGGCGGUUCUGGGCCUGUACCGAAGCAGCGGCCGUCGCCGGCUUCAGCUCCUUCGGCAGCCCCGCCUCAGCCGCCACCAGCAAAGAUUUCCAAGUCGCCAUCGUUCAUUCAGGAGGAGAUCGAGGUCGCCGAGGUGCUAUUUGGCCUGACGCGGCAGUUCCCCUGCCCUCCCAAGCAGGAGAACAUGAACCACAAGCCGGAGCCCAAGGACGCGCCGGAGGCCAAGUCCGGGAACUCUUCGCCGGCUCCGUCGUCAUCUGUCGUCCGGCCGGCAGAUUCAGCCUCUCUCACCACUAUAGCCCCAAAGAGGAAGCGGCCACGGCUCGCCAAGUACGACAACGAGAACCGCCCGGCGAGCCCAGCAAAACCGGACACGGCAGAGCCGCCCGCAAGGCCGGAAGUGCUUCCGGUGGCAAGAUCAGAUGCGAAGCCGUCCGUGUCGGCUGUGGCCGAAAGUGUCGCCAGCACCGCCGCCGCCGCCGCCACCGCUGGCGCGCAGCAGGAGGCUACCCGGGAGCCAGAGAAGAGGGAGGACCACAGAGGAAGAGAUCCAGAGCUCCGGGCCAGUGAAUCAGAUCGACGGGAUCCCGGGCCCGAGAGCAGCCGGGCCGAGCCGCCGGCAGCAGCAGUCAAGCCCGACGGCGAGGCUGCUGCGCCGGUCGGCUCUGAGGCCAGGAAUGGGGAGGCCACCACCGCGACAAAGAGUGAGCUGGCAUCCGAUGGCGCUCGGCAAGAAAAGUUUUGCAUUGAUCUCAUGGGAUUGGAUUCUGAGAUGGACGUGGCCGGGAGAGGAAAUUCUGAAAAGAAAGAUGGCGAGAGGACCCGGAGAGGCCUGGAGAUCAAUCUGGAGGACGAGAAGGCGCAAAGGAUUCCGGCGGAGGAGCUUGCUCCAAAGAAGCUCACUCUGCAGCUUGAUUUGGAGAAGCCCAGCCAAGGGGACGAAAAGUCGCCAUCUGAGCGCAGACAGCCGCCAUUGCCGCCACCGCAGCAGCAGCAGCACAAGCCCUCAAAGUCCGAGGUCAAGCAUGAGAAAUCACCUCUACCUGCUGCUUUACCCCCUAUGCCAAUGACCGUAGGCGGCUGGAUGGGGACUUUCCCACCUUUUAGUUACAUUGCUCCUGUUCCUGGACUAUCAGCUCCUGGGCUUCAUCAUCCUAUGGACAUCAAGCCAGGGACUUCUGCUGGAUUACAGCAUCCUGCAUUGCCUCCACUGCCAGUACGCCCCAAGCGCUGCGCUACACAUUGUUACAUCGCACAGCAGAUCCAAUACCACCAGCGAAUUACAAAGAUGAACUCUUUCUGGCCCACAACAGCGGCUGCCGCUGCUGCUGCCGCCGCCACAAGAUCUGCACCAUUCUUUGGUCCAAGAGGACCAUUCAACAUGGGCGUCGUUCCACCUGCGGAGGCUGCCUCCCUUCUCGCGAACCCAAUGCAGGGGAGCUACCCUGUUCGGGCACACGCCCCGCUGCAAGAAACUAAGGCUCCUUCAAUGGUGCCUUCUCCUUUCCAGGGGAGCCUCUCCAAGGAUAAAGCGGCAUCCAGCAGUGCCAGUGUUGCUGAAUCAAACCAAAGGAAGCAACCUCCAGCUCUUGAAGCGCAGCAGUCCUCUCCCAUGCCACCAAACAUGAUGCAAGCGCCAACAUUCAUCUUUCCAUUCAACCAACAUGCUGCAGCAGUAGCAGCUGCAACUGCCGCUGCCAAUCGAAUGGGAGAUACAAAAUCUUCUGGCACCAGCAGUGCGAUGCCGUCAUCUGCCACUGCCCACGCUUCAGCAGCACACGCUGGCGCAUCGGCCAUGAACUUGAGCUUUGCCAACUUGCAGCCGGGUGAUGCCCAGUUCUUGGCCAUCUUACAGAACGGCUACCCAUUCCAGCUCGCUGCUGCUCAUGCUGGAGGAGCUCCAUCAUAUCGAGGCAUGGCACCACCAGGCCCAGGUGUACCGUAUUUCAACGGGCAUGUCUACUCUCCCCACAUGUUGAACCCAUCACAGCAGCAAGGUACGCAGCAACAAAAUCAUCAGAAAAACUCAAUGCCAAGCUUGUCUGGUUCCUCUCAGAAGCAUCAGCCACAACAAUCACAAGGGUUGCUGGGAUAUGCACCAAAUGCUAAUGCUGCUGCUGCCGCUGCCGCAGCUGCCGCAGCAGCCGCUGCCAACAGUUCCCAGAGCUAUUCGAGCGGCAACCAGCGUCCUGUUCUUCUACAUGGCCUCGCUCACCGACAGGAUCCAGACAAGACUCUGCAAGAUGGCCAGUCAAGUGAUGACAAGUCUUCACACCAUCAGAAGGGUGGGCAUGAACAUAAUUUUGCUAUUCCAAUGCAUCUUCCAAAUUUUGCGUUGAUGCCAUCUGCUGGGAAUCAGAGUGAGAAGAAAUCGAAUGAUCACCACCAGCAGCCACCAACCAGUCGAGGCCAGGGGGUUCGAAUUGAUCUUGCUUCAUCUCAGCCUUUUGUGAUGCCCUUUGGUUCCAUUGGCGCUCCUGGUUCUGCUCCAAAUGGUCUUGACUUCUCGUCAUUGGCACAGAACCAUGCGCUUUUCCAGAGCCAUCAAGAAGCAGGCCGGCAUGGUUACCCUCAGCUCAAUUUUGCUUCAGCCCAGUCUGUUCAAGGUGCACAGCAUAAACCCCAGCAUCAAAAUGCUGCAGAAGCUAAAUCUGUGGCUGGGGAUUCAUCUUCAACGCCAAGUGCUGGAGAUAAUGAGAGAAAGAAAUCUGCAUCUGCAAAGUACCCGAGUGAUUCACAGCAGCAUUCUCUUUCUUUCUCUAAGCCAGAAAACAAGUCUUUUAUGCACCCUUUCCUUGGUAGCAGUGCUAAUGAGCCCUCAGUCCGCACUUUGAGCCUUAUUGGUGCGGAAUCUUCGAAUGCCUUUGGGUUAGGCAGCAGCAAAUCUUCAAGUGCUUCUACUGCAGCAGCUACGUCAGCUGCAGCCCCAUCUGCACCGACCAUGUCCCAGCAGCAGCAACAGCAGCAAAUUCAGCUGCAGCUGCACCAACACCAUCAGCACCAGAUGCAGCAACAAUUCCAGCAGCAGCAACUCCAACAGCAGCAGCAACAGCAGCAACUCCAGCAGCAGCAGCAACAGCAGCAACUCCAGCAGCAGCAGCAACAGCAGCAGCAGCAACAACAACAGCAGCAGCACCAGCAACAUAUGUUACAGCUUCAGAAACAGCAGCAGCAACAGCAAUUGUUUCAAAAUCAUCUGAACUCUCGCCCCAGGUCUGCUGCUCCGAGUAAUGCAAGUGGAUACUCUGACCGUUUGAGUGCGACGAACUUCCAGAAUUUAAUGUAUCCAUCAAGCGCUUCUCAAGGCGGAGUUCCUGGUCAAUCACCUCAAUUGAAGGCAUCGUCGUCGAUGAGAGUGUCAGCUCCACCUUCAGCUGCUUCUGUCCCUGCUGCAUCCUCGCCUUCUAAUUUGAUUAUGAUGAAGAACAGUGGUCUCCAUCAACAAGCAAAAGCUCUGCAGGCUCUCUCCACCCCGAAUCACCAGUCACAAAGCAUGAGUUCGUCGAAGAUUGGCCACUCCCUUACUAAUCUUUCUACUGGAGGAGCAGGGGACCUAUCUCGAUCUUCAAAUGCUCCGGUUGCUUCUGGUUCGCCAUCUAACUCGGUCUCCAAAAGUACUGGUGGUAGCCCACCUGCAUCUGGAAGUGCGAAGGGUGGCCAGCCAGUUGUCCAAUUGUCAUCACCUCAACAACAUGCAGCAAAGAACUCUCCUUCAACUUCUGGAUCCAAGUCGGCUUCAACAAAUCCCUACAGCAGUAUGCCUAUGCCAUCGAUCCUUGGUCAGCAACCAAACAUGGCUCACUCUGGUGGUAAGCAGCAGUCACAUGGACCCUCAUUGAAACAACAGCAGGCGUUCCCACAAGGCCAUGGCCACGGCCAUUUCUUCAUCUCCAAUGCCUUUGCGCCACAAGGUCCGCCUCAGCAUGUAAAUGCUGGAGCUGGUGCUGGCCUCUACCAAAAGCGCUCGGCUGACAAGACGCAGCAGCAGCAGCAGCAGCAGCAGAAUGCUGUCUCUGGUUCGUCUGCGAUGCUCUCUCUUGGUUCCAUGUCGAUGUCCACAUCUGCGGUUCCAGCCGAUGCGGGGAAGGCUCAUAGUGCAGCUGGCAGUAACAUGAAGGCCAAUCUUCAUCCAGCGCCUGGUGGUUUUAUGCACCUUGCGACAGCGGGGCAAUCUGCGAGUGGUUCGCCUCACUCUCACCUUUCAGCGGCACAAUUGACGUUUUCAAUGCCAAUGCCCGUAAAGCCUACCAGUGAUCAGAAGCCUGCUGCUGGUAAGUAAAGGACCUAGACGCCAGAGCAUGGGGAUGCUGCUAAUCUGAGUCGGCGAGCUAACUGCUAAUUCUGUCGGAAGCUCGGCGCGCGGAAGAAGCGAUUGCAUGGCAAGAGGCAUAGCUGCGAGAGCCGGAUCGUCGACGAGGAGGAUGAUGCACCCAUUCCAUCCAUUCAGGGGCUCUGGCAAAUCUGUGGAGUAAAACUGUGGAACGGCUGGCUGAUGGGAGUGAUACUUGUGUGUAGUAGGUUAUCCUCCCAUGGUGGAAAGCUGGAGGUGCAUAGAAACCCCUUUUUUUAGCAGUUUUAUGCAAGAUUGUCAAAAGCUGGUCUCUCUCUGAACUUCUCCCCUCCCCUCUCCUCUCCUCGAAGUGCUGCUCUGCUCUGGUCUGGUCUCUUUAGAUUUGUUCCUUUUGUUGUUGUCUUAACUGAAGGAAGAAGGUUUAAUUAGAAUGCAGGUCAAGGGAAACUUUUGUGAUGCUGCUGCUCUUGCCUUCCUCUUUUCUUUCUUUCUUUCUGUGUUUCUUUCCUUUUUUUUUCUCCAUGUGUUUUGUCAAUACUCAGAUCUGCUUGGAUUGUUUUAGAAACAAUUUGGGGCAGAGAGGGAAAUAUCUCUCAAGGAGUAGGAGUAGUAGUAGUAGUAUGUUGGAUUGUUUUAGAAACAACUGGGGCGGAGGCAGAGAGGCAGAUAAGUAGUACUAGUAGUUGUUGCAUAGCAUAGCAUGAGAGUGACCAUGACCUGCCUUUUGGGUGUGUGCGUUGUAAUUAGCUAGGUAGCCUUGUAGAAGAAAUGAAUCAAUCAAGGCGGUGGAUGGAUGGAUGGAUAAUCUUGUUAAGAU